rnacentral:rRNA from 1 species
UACGUAGGUGGCAAGCGUUGUCCGGAUUUAUUGGGUUUAAAGGGUGCGUAGGCGGCCCUGUAAGUCAGUGCUGAAAUAUCCCAGCUUAACUGGGAGGGUGACAUUGAUACUGCGGGGCUAGAGUACAGAUGAGGUAGGCGGAAUUGACGGUGUAGCGGUGAAAUGCUUAGAUAUCGUCAAGAACACCUAUAGCGAAGGCAGCUUACUAGGCUGUAACUGACGCUGAGGCACGAAAGUGUGGGGAUCAAACAGG